rnacentral:rRNA from 1 species
UACGGGGGGAGCAAGCGUUGUUCGGAUUUACUGGGCGUAAAGGGCGCGUAGGCGGCCAGCGCAAGUCAGUUGUGAAGUCUCCGGGCUUAACUCGGAAAGGUCAACUGAUACUGCGCGGCUAGAGUGCAGAAGGGGCAACUGGAAUUCUCGGUGUAGCGGUGAAAUGCGUAGAUAUCGAGAGGAACACCUGCGGCGAAGGCGGGUUGCUGGGCUGACACUGACGCUGAGGCGCGAAAGCCAGGGGAGCGAACGGGAUUAGAUACCCGUGUAGU